rnacentral:rRNA from 1 species
CCUAACACAUGCAAGUACGAACGGAAGGUAAGCGCGUUCGGAGGCUUCGGCCAAUGUAAAAAUCUUAUCUUAGUGGCGGACGGGUGAGUAACGCGUGGAUAACCUGCCAUAUACAGGGGGAGUAACAGUUAGAAAUGACUGCUAAUACCGCAUAAGCGCACGGAAACGCAUGUUUCAGUGUGAAAAACUCCGGUGGUAUAUGAUGGAUCCGCGUCUGAUUAGCCAGUUGGCGGGGUAACGGCCCACCAAAGCGACGAUCAGUAGCCGGCCUGAGAGGGUGAACGGCCACAUUGGGACUGAGACACGGCCCAAACUCCUACGGGAGGCAGCAGUGGGGGAUAUUGCACAAUGGGGGAAACCCUGAUGCAAGCGACGCCGCGUGAGUGAAGAAGUAUUUCGGUAUGUAAAGCUCUAUCAGCAGGGAAGAUAAUGACGGUACCUGACUAAGAAGCACCGGCUAAAUACGUGCCAGCCGCCGC